CAUUCAUUCUGGGUAUGUUCAGGAUUAUUUCUAAUGUAAAAAGCAUAGGUGUAUGAAGCUACCUGUGUAUUUGCUUUUUACCUUAAAUUUACCUGCAUAAUGAAAAGCAACCUAUUAGUUGUUUUAAUUUUUGUUAAGUAUGCCACAUCCGAUGGUGGAAGUGGGACACUUGACAACUCUCAUGAAAAUCUCGACAUGAUUGAAAAAUUAGCUUUGAGAUCAAUAGGAUACUUGAAAACGCCUGAAGAUUGGCAUCAGGCGUUUGUUGUACUAGCUAAAAAGUAUAAAGAAGACAUCGAACGUUAUAAAAAUGAAAGUCACACAAAUGAAGCUCGAUAUAAAGAAGACAUCGAACGAUGCAAAAACAAAAGUUGUGUGAAUGAAGCUCAAUAUAAAGAAGACAUCGAACGAUAUAAAAAUGAAACUCUCAUAAACAAAAGGGAAAAUGUGAAAUGCCUAUCAGUCCUAAAAUUUCGCACACUGUUGCUGGAGGAUGCAGAAUGGUAUUUCCAUUUAGAACACGUCUUUCCCAAUGAAGAUAAAAUGUUCGCAGAUUUGCAAAGUAACGCCUCUGCAUAUACUGUUACAAUUUCUCGCAACUGGUUGAUGAAUAUGAAGAAUUUGGGUAAUUUCGAGCAUAUUAAUGAGCACACCAUUAAAUGGCUGCAUUUCCUCGCGUUUUCUAAAGGAAAAUUGGCUACUAGACUCCGGAAGAAACUUAUGGAAAGAAAUAUCGAUGCUUUUGAAUUUUGUUUUUGGGCGGGAAGAUUUUUCUCAAACGCUGGGGGUGCUCUUUAUUUCUUGAAUAGUUCAGUAGAAGAACUCGAUCCCGAAAUUGUUCAAGAAGCGUUAGGAUAUUUUGGAAUGGCGAGCUCUUCAGUAUUGGAGGUAGUGAAGAUUUUGCUAGGAAUUGGAAGCAUGACGACACUGUAUCAUGAUAAUUGAAGCAUCAAAUUUUAGACUUUUCGAAUAAUCUGCUUAUUUUAUUUCUAGUAAUAUAAGUCUAUCUGAAGGGGGGGGGGGGGGAGUCAACAAUAUUUUGGAUGGUAGUGAAAAAGUGGUGAUUUUCGAUCAACAAAUUUCCCUGUAUAGAUACCCUCUUACUACCGAAGUAUGGCUUCAAACAAAUAGAAUUUAGAAUGGUCGUUCAACCAAUUGCUCAUAACAUUAAUGAACCACACCAUGCUAUUACAAUCUUCCCAAAGAAGUGAAUCGUUUCAUCUAUGGACUCAAAAGCUGUGAUUUCAACAUUCAAAAUCUCGGUAUAAUUUCAUCAAUAUUAUGUACCUAUAUAAAGAUAUAUUAUGUACUCCUAUUUUAGAAAAAUGAGGUACCUAUGUGAAUGAUCCGAGAUAACAUAUCAAAUAAUAAAUCAAUCGCAGAUAAGGUGGAUAUCGAAAUAUUCAACUUUUAUCUCAAAAUUAUCAUUACAUUUGACAGAUAUUUAAUCAAUAAAUUUUAAUUUGAUUCGAUAAAGGCAUUUGGUAUUAAUUCUGGGUAUGUUCAAGAUAUUUCUAAUGUAGAAAGCGUAGGCAUACGAAGUUACCAGUGGAUUUGUUUUUUUACCAUUUUAUCUGGAUAAUGAAAAGCAAAAGCAACCUAUUAGUUGUUUUAAUUUUUGUUAAGUAUGCCACAUCCAAUAGCGGGAGUGGCACACUUGACAACUCUCACGAAAAUCUUGACACGAUUGAAAAAUUAGCAUUGGGAUCAAUUGGAUACUUGAAAAAGCCUGAAGAUUGGCAUCAAGCAUUUGUUGCACUAGCCAAAAAAUAUACAGAAGACAUUGAACGAUAUAAAGGAGACAUCGAACAAUGUAAAAAUCUAAGUCGUGUGAAUGAAGAUUGAUAUAAAAAAGAUAUCGAACGAUAUAAAAACGAAUCUCUCAAAAAUGAAAGAGAAAAUGUGAAAUGCCUAUCGGUCCUAAAGUUCCGCACACUGACACUGGAGCAUGCAGAAUGGUAUUUCCACUUAGAACACUUCUUUCCCAGUGAAGAUAAGAUGUUCGCAGAGUUGCAAAGUAACGCCUCUGCAUAUACUGUUCCAAUUUCUCACAACUGGUCAAUGAAUAUGGAGAAUUUGGAAGAAUACGAAGAUAUUAAUGCGCAUACCAUUAAAUGGCUGCAUUUCGUCGCAUUUUCUAAAGGAAAAUUGGCUACUAGACUCCGGAAGAAACUUCUGGAAACAAAUGUCGAUGCUUUUCAAUUAUGUUUUUGGGCGGGAAGAUUUUUCAAAUACACGGGGGGUGCUCUUUAUUUCUGGAAUCCUUCAGUAAGAGUUCUCAAUCCCGAAAUUGUUCACGAAGGAUUAGGAUAUUUUGGAAUAAUGACGAGCUCUACAGUAUCGGAGGUAGUGAAGAUUUUGCUAGCAAUUGGAGACAUGACGUCAAUAUUUCCUGAUGAUUGAAGCAUUUCACUUGUGAAACCUAUACUAUAGGAGCUUCAUGAAGGUACCUACAUAUAAAUGAAGCAGAUGAUUCUGGUUUUCAGUUUGUUUUUUUUUUAAAUUACGUUUGAAAAUUUUUUUGGACUGUUGUCUGUUAUACUUAUGUAGUUCUGUUUUACGGCCUACGGGUAUGUGUUGCUUGCUUAAGUAUUUUUAUUCAACAGUCAUUUUUUUCAUUACUUGUUAGUUUUGUAAUAUUUUCAAGUUUUUAUACUAUUUUUCUCAGUACAUAU